rnacentral:rRNA from 1 species
AGAUUGAUCAUGGCUAGGGAUGAACGCUGGCGGCGUGCUUAACACAUGCAAGUCGAACGAAUUUCUUUCGAAGUGAGGCUUCGGCCAAGCGACGAUGGAAAUGAGUGGCGGACGGGUGAGUAACGCGUGGGUAACCUGCCUUACACUGGGGGAUAACGAUUGGAAACGAUCGCUAAUACCGCAUAAGACCACGGUGCCGCAUGGCACAGGGGUAAAAGAAUUUCGAUGUAAGAUGGACCCGCGUCUGAUUAGGCAGUUGGCGAGGUAACGGCUCACCAAACCGACGAUCAGUAGCCGACCUGAGAGGGUGAUCGGCCACAUUGGGACUGAGACACGGCCCAAACUCCUACGGGAGGCAGCAGUGGGGAAUAUUGCACAAUGGGGGAAACCCUGAUGCAGCGACGCCGCGUGAGUGAAGAAGUAUUUCGGUAUGUAAAGCUCUAUCAGCAGGGAAGACAAUGACGGUACCUGACUAAGAAGCUCCGGCUAAAUACGUGCCAGCAGCCGCGGUAAUACGUAUGGAGCAAGCGUUAUCCGGAUUUACUGGGUGUAAAGGGAGCGUAGGUGGUUUGGCAAGCCAGAAGUGAAAACCCGGGGCUCAACCCCGCGGAUUGCUUUUGGAACUGUUGGACUGGAGUGCAGGAGGGGUAAGCGGAAUUCCCAGUGUAGCGGUGAAAUGCGUAGAUAUUGGGAGGGAACACCGGGUGGCGAAGCGCUUACUGGACUGUAACUGACACUGAGC